rnacentral:rRNA from 1 species
UGGGGAAUUUUGGACAAUGGGGGAAACCCUGACCAGCCAUCCCGCGUGUGCGAUGAAGGCCUUCGGGUUGUAAAGCACUUUUGGCAGGAAAGAAACGUCAUGGGUUAAUACCCCGUGAAACUGACGGUACCUGCAGAAUAAGCACCGGCUAACUACGUGCCAGCAGCCGCGGUAAUACGUAGGGUGCAAGCGUUAAUCGGAAUUACUGGGCGUAAAGCGUGCGCAGGCGGUUCGGAAAGAAAGAUGUGAAAUCCCAGAGCUCAACUUUGGAACUGCAUUUUUAACUACCGGGCUAGAGUGUGUCAGAGGGAGGUGGAAUUCCGCGUGUAGCAGUGAAAUGCGUAGAUAUGCGGAGGAACACCGAUGGCGAAGGCAGCCUCCUGGGAUAACACUGACGCUCAUGCACGAAAGCGUGGGGAGCAAACAGG